GCCGCCGCCUCCCCGGCAGCGUUGGCACGAGGAGCUGGGCUGGACGACCUCUCUGCGCCCCGGCAGCGCCGGCAGGACGGGGCAGCGACACACACCCGAGUGUUUUGUUCGCCGUUGGGCCUUGAUUAGCAGCUCUGCGGCCGGACAAUUAAAAUGCAGCGCUGGGGCAUGGCCGUCAAUGUGUACUCGACAUCGGUGACCAGUGAGAACCUGAGCCGCCAUGACAUGCUCGCCUGGGUCAAUGACUCCCUCCAGCUCAACUACACCAAGAUCGAGCAGCUUUGCUCAGGGGCUGCGUACUGCCAGUUCAUGGACAUGCUGUUCCCCGGCUGUGUCCACCUGCGGAAGGUGAAGUUCCAAGCCAAGCUGGAGCAUGAGUACAUCCACAACUUCAAGGUGCUGCAAGCCGCCUUCAAGAAGAUGGGAGUGGACAAGAUCAUCGCUGUGGAGAGGCUGGUGAAGGGCAAGUUCCAGGACAACUUUGAGUUCAUCCAGUGGUUUAAGAAGUUCUUUGACGCCAACUAUGACGGGAAGGAGUACAACCCGCUGCUGGCGCGGCAGGGCCAGGACGUCGCGCCCCCCCCAAACCCAGGUGAUCACAUCUUCAACAAACCCAAGAAACCCAUUGGCACUGCAGGAGCAUCUCAAGGGUCAGAGACCCCAUCCAUCCCAUGGCAAACCCCAGCCAGGCCACAAGCACGCCCAUGGGGUGAGAUCUGCCAGGGGAAACUGAGUCCCCCAGAGGACCUCUCCCACCGGUCCCAAGAACUCCCCGAACCCAGCCCGCCUCAGCAAUGUCCCCAGCAACAUUCUCCGGAAAAACUCCCCCGCAGCGCGUAAUGGGGGCAGCGAGGCCGACGCGCAGAUACUGGAGCUCAACCAGCAGCUGAUGGACCUGAAGCUGACAGUGGACGGGCUGGAGAAGGAGCGGGAUUUCUACUUCAGCAAGCUGCGGGACAUUGAGCUAAUCUGCCAGGAGCAUGAGAACGAAAACAGCCCCAUCAUCACUGGCAUUGUCAGCGUCCUCUACGCCACAGAGGAGGGCUUUGCCCCACCAGAGGAUGACGAGCUGGAGGAGCAGCAGCCAGAGGAGCAGGAUGAGUACUAACCCCGGCAUGCUCCCGCGCUGCCCCGCGCCGUUCCCCCACCAUAGACAUUUGAGGUCUGAGCCUGCGCGCCUCGCCCUGCACUGUCACAUGCCACCAUCACGGUCUCCGGCAGCUGAGCCCGCGGCCUCGGCAUCCAGCAGCUCCGGUGGGAAGCCACUGUCUCCAUAAUAAAUAGAUGUCCACCCAGCACGGAGCACGGCUGUACCUACGCCGGGGGCUGGGGUGGGGACAGGCUCUGGCUGACCCUCGCCACCCCCUGCCCCAUAUUUAUUUCCGUUGUCCCCGCUGGUGCGGGUGCUGCAGCCGCCCUGGUGUCCCCGCCUGCCCCCUGCGUGAAGCCAGAAGGAAGGAGCGAGUCCUCGGGGUGUUUCCUCCCCAGAGAGGAGCGUGUGCUGCCUGCGCUGCCUGCACCCUGCCAGCCCGGGGAUGAUGGGGUCAGAGACAGCGCCCACUGCACGGGGUGGGGGUGAUGUGAGGAGGACGCGGCUCGGAGGAGGGAGGUGUUGCUGCAGGUUCCUGGCACGAUGGAAAAGAAACCCCCGACAUGGCCACCUGCCUGCUGGGGCAGCAAGGGGGGGAUCCUGGCCCCCACAACCAGGACAGGGGGUCCAUGAGUGGAAGCUGGUUCCCUCUGUGGCAUGGGGGUCCCCUCGCUCCCUGAAACCUCCCCCGGUCAGGCUGAGAGCGGCAGCAGCGCCUGCCCCAGCCAUCAUCGUGUCCCCAUUGCAUCGCUUGUCUGAUCCAUCACUCCAGUUGCAAAAGCCUGCAUCUGUGUUAAGUUUUAUUUAAAAUAAAGUUGUGUGGUAAAACCUU